GAUGAACGCUGGCGGCGUGCCUAAUACAUGCAAGUCGAGCGAACAGACGAGGAGCUUGCUCCUCUGACGUUAGCGGCGGACGGGUGAGUAACACGUGGAUAACCUACCUAUAAGACUGGGAUAACUUCGGAAAACCGGAGCUAAUACCGGAUAAUAUAUUGAACCGCAUGGUUCAAUAGUGAAAGACGGUUUUGCUGUCACUUAUAGAGGGAUCCGCGCCGCAUUAGCUAGUUGGUAAGGUAACGGCUUACCAAGGCAACGAUGCGUAGCCGACCUGAGAGGGUGAUCGGCCACACUGGAACUGAGACACGGUCCAGACUCCUACGGGAGGCAGCAGUAGGGAAUCUUCCGCAAUGGGCGAAAGCUUGACGGAGCAACGCCGCGUGAGUGAUGAAGGUCUUCGGAUCGUAAAACUCUGUUAUUAGGGAAGAACAAAUGUGUAAGUAACUAUGCACGUCUUGACGGUACCUAAUCAGAAAGCCACGGCUAACUACGUG
rnacentral:rRNA from 1 species